UGUGAACGUGCUUGUUAGUGUUAAAGGACAUUAUUAUUGACAACACACAUGUCUUGUACAGUUUCUCACUGUAAAAAUUGUCAACGAUUUCGUUCAGAAGGUGUAUCUUUUCAUCAGUAAGUUUUCUUCAUUAUCUUAUUAAAAUCGAAUACGUAGAUAGUUAUAAUUAAUAACAAUUGGUUAUUGCAAUACUAUGUGAUCAAUAUUUAUUAUAUCUGAUUUUAGGUUUCCGAAAGAUCGAAAACUUUUAAAAAAGUGGCUGAUUGUUGUGAAAAAAGGUGACAGCUUCAAACUGACUAAGUAUAAGCUGGUGUGCUCAGAUCAUUUCACAACAACUGAUUUCAAUGUUGUAAUUGAGUGAAAACGAUUGAAAUCGAACGCAAUUCCCAGUGUGAAUUUAGAUGAAAGUCUAGAAGCUUCUUCAACUUCAAUGAGUACUGUGAGUGCUACUUCAGCUAUAUUUGAGAAGAGUCUCCAUCGAUUAUACCUCAAGGUGUAAAGAGGACAUUAAGUGCUGCGCAGAGAUACCAUGGAAAAAGCAGUAGCAGUACAAGUGGAAGUAAAAGCAAGAACUCAAAAAGUAGUUCUGACAGGAGGGAAGGUGAUAAGCUGGCGUUACAUAAAGAAACUACAUGAAUUACAAAAUGAUGAAUUCCUAAAUGUUGCAAACAAGUUGAAAAAGGCACAUUUGGAGUGAUGGAAACAUAAAAUGAAAUUCUAUUAUAGGUGAGUUUAGCAGCACAAACUCUUAGCAAGAGUUGCGGAUGCACUUGAAUUUUUAAAAGAUCUUGGUAUUAGUGACUUUCAAGGUUGUGAAACAACAAUAGAAUUCAUCAGAAGGAUAGAUUCUUUAUUUGAUAUUCUCAAUUCUCGAAGUGUACGUGCUAAGAAUUUUAAGGCACCUUUGAGAGAAAACAAUGAAGAAAUGUGGCGUCCAUUUCUCAUCGACACCAGUGAGUAUCUUCUGAAUUUGAAGGAUGUCACUGGCGGGCCUUUGUGGUGCACGCCCCGAAAAACGUCAAUUCUGGGCUUUGUUAUUUCCGCUACGUCGUUCAUGGGAAUUUUUGAUGAAUUUGUUAGUAGUAAGAGGUUGAAUGACUUGCUAACAUAAAUGUAGUCAAGAUCAUCUAGAAAUUUUCUUCUGCUCAGUGCGGUAAGCUUUUAAAAAAACAAUUGUAUUACUUUUUUAUGCACUGGAAUUACACAAAUCUGUAUUUAUUUUUCUGUUUUCAGAUCGAGAAAUGGGUGAAACAAUAACCCUACUCCUCUACGAUUUUGUAAAACUUAGAAGAUUGCUUCUAUUUACAAACAUAACGAGGGAAGGAGGAAAUUGUAAAGUGCUUUGCACCACCUGUCUGCUCUCUGUUAACAUUGGCCCAAAGCAAAAGAGCACAAAUGU